rnacentral:rRNA from 1 species
UACGUAGGGGGCAAGCGUUGUCCGGAUUUAUUGGGCGUAAAGAGCGUGUAGGCGGCUGGGUAGGUCCGUUGUGAAAACUCGAGGCUCAACCUCGAGACGCCGAUGGAAACCCUCCAGCUAGAGUCCGGAAGAGGAGAGUGGAAUUCCUGGUGUAGCGGUGAAAUGCGCAGAUAUCAGGAGGAACACCCGUGGCGAAAGCGGCUCUCUGGGACGGUACUGACGCUGAGACGCGAAAGCGUGGGGAGCGAACAGG